rnacentral:tRNA from 1 species
AGGGGUAUAGCUCAGCUGGUAGAGCAUCGGUCUCCAAAACCGAGGGUCGUGAGUUCGAACCUUACUGCCCCUGCCA